ACCGUGUGGUAUUUUUGGAGAGCAGUGGAGAACAUGAAUUUAGUUGUAAAUUCGAUGAUGCUCAGUGAGAGAAAAUCUUUCAAAUGUUGAAGAAGUUCUUUUGCACCUCUGAAGAUGUAUCUUCAGUGUGACAAUAAUCUUUUGAGAAAAAAAAAGAAGAUAUAAAAGAGUCGUGCUUGGGCUAAAGAAUUUGAACUGAUAAAAGAAUCUAAGAUUAACCUAGUCUGACAAAGUCCCUUGACCCGAACAGGCUAAAGAAGAAAAAUUAGCAAAGGAUUACUGGACAAGAUACUUAUAUGAUAAUACCAUAUGAUUUUUCUAUCUGUACUAC
rnacentral:lncRNA from 1 species